ACAGCAGCCGCCGCGGUAAUACGAAGGGUGCAAGCGUUACUCGGAAUUACUGGGCGUAAAGCGCGCGUAGGUGGUGGUUUAAGUCCGUUGUGAAAGCCCUGGGCUCAACCUGGGAAUUGCAGUGGAUACUGGGUCACUAGAGUGUGGUAGAGGAUAGUGGAAUUUCCGGUGUAGCAGUGAAAUGCGUAGAGAUCGGAAGGAACAUCUGUGGCGAAGGCGACUAUCUGGGCCAACACUGACACUGAGGCACGAAAGCGUGGGGAGCAAACAGGAUUAGAUACCCGUGUAGUCCCUGUCUCUUAUAC
rnacentral:rRNA from 1 species